AGUGAAGCGGCAAAAGCUCAAAUUUGAAAUCUGGUACCUUCGGUGCCCGAGUUGUAAUUUGGAGAGGGCAACUUUGGGGCCGUUCCUUGUCUAUGUUCCUUGGAACAGGACGUCAUAGAGGGUGAGAAUCCCGUGUGGCGAGGAGUGCGGUUCUUUGUAAAGUGCCUUCGAAGAGUCGAGUUGUUUGGGAAUGCAGCUCUAAGUGGGUGGUAAAUUCCAUCUAAAGCUAAAUAUUGGCGAGAGACCGAUAGCGAACAAGUACAGUGAUGGAAAGAUGAAAAGAACUUUGAAAAGAGAGUGAAAAAGUACGUGAAAUUGUUGAAAGGGAAGGGCAUUUGAUCAGACAUGGUGUUUUGUGCCCUCUGCUCCUUGUGGGUAGGGGAAUCUCGCAUUUCACUGGGCCAGCAUCAGUUUUGGUGGCAGGAUAAAUCCAUAGGAAUGUAGCUUGCCUCGGUAAGUAUUAUAGCCUGUGGGAAUACUGCCAGCUGGGACUGAGGACUGCGACGUAAGUCAAGGAUGCUGGCAUAAUGGUUAUAUGCCGC
rnacentral:rRNA from 1 species